AGGGGAUCUCUGAAGGGAGAGAUUUGAAAUGUGAGGGGGCUGAAGGAUGGCCACAUGGCAAGGUUACACGAACCCCCAGGACCUGGGUAUGACCUCUAGUGGUUGAGAAUGGGUCACCUCUGACAGCUAGUGAGAAAACAGGACCUCCCUCAUACAGGCAAGGAAGUGAGUUCUAACACCCUGAGGGAGCUUGGAAGCAGAUCUUUCCUGAGUUGAACUUCGAGAUGAAAACACACGGGGCGACAUCUUGACUUCAAUCAAGUGAGACCUUAGGCUGAGAACCCAAUGAAAACGUACCUGACUCCUGCCCUUCAAACUGGAGACUACCGGAGACCGAGGAUCCGAGCCCUAUUUGUGACACAAAACAUGCUGGAUGGUUAAUUUGGUGCGAACUUACUUUGUUCAUGUGGACUUUACAUAUCAGAUACUGGAUACACAUUGCAAUAGCAGGACCCUGUAAAUACUGUCUUCUGGAUUUUCACCACAGCAUGAUGGAUUCCCAGCUUCAUAAACUGUGUAACUCGUGUGUCUAAACUUCCCUAAUUACUAAUACCUGGCUCUGUUUUAAUUCUGCUUCCAUAUGUUCUCGACUUCUCUGCAGAUAUAACAGUAAGUUUCAUGUCUCAUUGCUCAAUUAGUUGCUGUUGUUAGCUUAAUAAGUGAAAGGCUUUCUGGUGUCAUUGACCUGAUUUUUAGGAUUGCAAA